AGCAGCCGCGGUAAUUCCAGCUCCAAUAGCGUAUAUUAAAGUUGUUGCAGUUAAAAAGCUCGUAGUUGAAUUUCGGGGUCAGUAGGUUGGUCAUGCCACUGGUAUGUACUGGCCUCACUGAUUCCUCCUUCCUGAUGAGCCGUAAUGCCAUUAAUUUGGUGUUGCGAGGAAUCUGGACUGUUACUUUGAAAAAUUAGAGUGUUUAAAGCAGGCUAACGCUUGAAUACAUUAGCAUGGAAUAAUGAAAUAGGACGUUCGAUCUUAUUUUGUUGGUUUCUAAGAUUGACGUAAUGAUUAAUAGGGAUAGUUGGGGGCAUUAGUAUUCAAUUGUCAGAGGUGAAAUUCUUGGAUUUAUUGAAGACUAACUACUGCGAAAGCAUUUGCCAAGGAUGUUUUCAUUAAUCAAGAACGAAAGUUAGGGGAUCGAAGACGAUCAGAUACCGUCGUAGUCUUAACCAUAAACUAUGCCGACUA
rnacentral:rRNA from 1 species